AAAAUGAGUGUUUGAGCCGUGUAAGGCUUGCUUUUGGCUCGCGCUGUCCCUUUAAAUUUCCUUAAGUGUCAUCUGGCACGCACCCCGCUCUGCUGAGUCAUUGGGUUCAGCCUGGUUUUGUAACCUCCACCCAACGGGACCUCUCAUUGGCUCCCGGACCCGCUCUGCAGCUCUCACGGUUGGCUGCCAGCGCCACUAAUCAGUUCUCUUUUGCUGAAGUCAGUUCUUAAAGUGACAGGAGCCCUGCUUUGAUCUGACUUGAGCUGCACACGCACACAGGGGUUGAAAGGUUCCUCUAUUUGCUGAUGUACAGGUGUACAGGAGGUGACACUAAUGGAGGCUCACAGAAACAGGCUCACAGAGGAGCAGGAAAUGGAAAACUGAGCUAAUGUGUAGCUAGCGCUCUGCUGCAAAAUGGCUGCCAUGCGUCACCCAGGUGGGUGCUACUCAUCGGUGGUGGGUGAGGUGAGUUCCCACUCAUCGCCGUAAAGCACUUUUGAGUGUUUGGAUAUGUUCUUUAUAAAUGCAAUGAUUCAUUCAUUCAGUUAUUCAUUCAUACGUAUUCGCUAUGGGCAGCAUUUCACGGCUGAAGUGUGAUUCAGCAAGGGCCUGUCUGUUUGACGAAGAGGACCGUUUCCUGUGUCCUUCAGGACGCUUAGCUCAGAGAACAGUCACGGAUCCGGUCGGAGAGCAGGCCUGUGGCCUGUUCGGGGGGGCAGUGGGCUCCAGGGUGCUCCUAGGCCACAGCAGCAACGGGACGCGGUGGCGUGAGUUCGAAGCGGACAGCGCCGAGCGACGCGCGCGGCGACUGGGCAGGAAGGAGCAUUCCUCCGCGUUCGCCCUGGCCACGCCCCCCUCCCCCGUCCCCCACAGAGCUGCUGUUCCGUUCCACGCGGCUCUCGGCUCCGUAGCAAAUUCCUCUCGUGCUUCGCCGUGUAAAAAAAGAGAGAGAGGAAAAAGAACAAAUCGAUGCUGUGCUGCAGUGCUCUCAUUUGACUGUCUGCGUUGUGUUCCUCUCCCGGAGAGGUUGCUCUGUGACUGCCCUGACUGACCUCUGCGUGAUGUCACGAUGACAGCCAUCACUGUCCGGUCUGUGAUGUCAUAAUUACAGCCAUCACUGCCCGAUCAGUGAUGCUGUGGUGUAAUAAUGACAACAUUUGCGGUCUUCUGUGCAAUGUCACAAUGGAAGCUACCCUAAAUGGCUCUUUCAAAUUUAACUAAAGUUCCUCUCGCCCCACCCCUACUCUCAUCCCGUCCUUCAAAUUUUGUUAUUAUAUUGUCUGCAUACCAGAUGACUUUGGUCUGACAUAUUUCACUGUUAUUUACUGUUAUACAAAAUAAAAGAUGAUAACUUAUCUGCAGCAGAUCUGAACUGGGGGACACAAAGCCUUAUAAGGGGCAUAGGAGAUGCACAGUGAUCUAAAUCAGCACAAUCUGUUGUAUGCAAAUAAAUAUAUUGCUACUUUG